rnacentral:rRNA from 1 species
GAUGAACGCUGGCGGCGUGCCUAAUACAUGCAAGUCGAGCGAACAGACGAGGAGCUUGCUCCUCUGACGUUAGCGGCGGACGGGUGAGUAACACGUGGAUAACCUACCUAUAAGACUGGGAUAACUUCGGGAAACCGGAGCUAAUACCGGCUAACAUGUUGAACCGCAUGGUUUAACAGUGAAAGACGGUCUUGCUGUCACUUAUAGAUGGAUCCGCGCCGCAUUAGCUAGUUGGUAAGGUAACGGCUUACCAAGGCAACGAUGCGUAGCCGACCUGAGAGGGUGAUCGGCCACACUGGAACUGAGACACGGUCCAGACUCCUACGGGAGGCAGCAGUAGGGAAUCUUCCGCAAUGGGCGAAAGCCUGACGGAGCAACGCCGCGUGAGUGAAGAAGGUCUUCGGAUCGUAAAACUCUGUUAUUAGGGAAGAACAAAUGUGUAAGUAACUAUGCACGUCUUGACGGUACCUAAUCAGAAAGCCACGGCUAACUACGUG